AGCCCUUUGGGACUUCCAAUGGGAUCUUAGAAGCAGCAGAAGCAUCGUGAGGGCGGCAGCCCAGGGCCAGCCACGAUUUGAACGCUCUGCCUUGCAGCUCUUCUGGACCGAGGAUCCCAAAGCCCUACCCUCACCAUUCACCAGGUUACGGUUCUUAUCUGAGUGAAUACACAUGGCUCUGUUACGAAAAAGUAAGAUUACAACUUUUGAAAAUAAUGAUUUAAAAACAGAUAUUUGGGGAGGAUGGUUUUGAGGCUCGGGCUUGGCUUUUUUCUUCUUUCUUGGAUUA
rnacentral:lncRNA from 1 species